UACGGGGGGGGUAAGCGUUGUUCGGAAUUACUGGGCGUAAAGGGCUCGUAGGCGGCCAACUAAGUCAUACGUGAAAUCCCUCAGCUUAACUGGGGAACUGCGUGUGAUACUGGAUGGCUUGGAUUUGGGAGAGGGAUGUGGAAUUCCAGGUGUAGCGGUGAAAUGCGUAGAUAUCUGGAGGAACACCGGUGGCGAAGGCGGCAUCCUGGACCGGCAUUGACGCUGAGGCGCGAAAGCUAGGGGAGCAAACGGG
rnacentral:rRNA from 1 species